GAAAAACUCUAUUCUUUGAAUUAGUAUAACAGAGAAUUACACCAUCAAAGAUGAGAAUAAAAUUAACAAUCCUAAGGCAAACCCUAACCCCCAAAUCCGUAAAGGGUCCUUCCUUGCCUCUUAAGCGCAUAAACAACAUCCAUAGCAGUAACCGUCUUUCUCCUAGCGUGCUCUGUGUAUGUCACGGAAUCACGAAUUACAUUUUCCAAAAAGAUCUUCAGAACACCACGAGUCUCUUCGUAAAUCAACCCAGAAAUACGCUUCACACCACCUCUACGAGCGAGUCUUCGAAUAGCUGGCUUUGUAAUUCCUUGAAUGUUGUCUCUCAACACUUUCCUGUGCCUCUUGGCUCCUCCUUUGCCCAAUCCUUUGCCUCCCUUACCUCUGCCUGACAUUUUUCUGAUGAAAUUAUAGAGAAGAGAUGUAGA
rnacentral:misc_RNA from 1 species